rnacentral:rRNA from 4 species
UGAUUGAUUUUGGUCGCCAACGAGUGGCGGACGGGUGAGUAACACGUAGGUAACCUGCCCAGAAGCGGGGGACAACAUUUGGAAACAGAUGCUAAUACCGCAUAACAGCGUUGUUCGCAUGAACAACGCUUAAAAGAUGGCUUCUCGCUAUCACUUCUGGAUGGACCUGCGGUGCAUUAGCUUGUUGGUGGGGUAACGGCCUACCAAGGCGAUGAUGCAUAGCCGAGUUGAGAGACUGAUCGGCCACAAUGGGACUGAGACACGGCCCAUACUCCUACGGGAGGCAGCAGUAGGGAAUCUUCCACAAUGGGCGCAAGCCUGAUGGAGCAACACCGCGUGAGUGAAGAAGGGUUUCGGCUCGUAAAGCUCUGUUGUUAAAGAAGAACACGUAUGAGAGUAACUGUUCAUACGUUGACGGUAUUUAACCAGAAAGUCACGGCUAACUACGUGCCAGCAGCCGCGGUAAUACGUAGGUGGCAAGCGUUAUCCGGAUUUAUUGGGCGUAAAGAGAGUGCAGGCGGUUUUCUAAGUCUGAUGUGAAAGCCUUCGGCUUAACCGGAGAAGUGCAUCGGAAACUGGAUAACUUGAGUGCAGAAGAGGGUAGUGGAACUCCAUGUGUAGCGGUGGAAUGCGUAGAUAUAUGGAAGAACACCAGUGGCGAAGGCGGCUACCUGGUCUGCAACUGACGCUGAGACUCGAAAGCAUGGGUAGCGAACAGGAUUAGAUACCCUGGUAGUCCAUGCCGUAAACGAUGAGUGCUAGGUGUUGGAGGGUUUCCGCCCUUCAGUGCCGGAGCUAACGCAUUAAGCACUCCGCCUGGGGAGUACGACCGCAAGGUUGAAACUCAAAGGAAUUGACGGGGGCCCGCACAAGCGGUGGAGCAUGUGGUUUAAUUCGAAGCUACGCGAAGAACCUUACCAGGUCUUGACAUCUUGCGCCAACCCUAGAGAUAGGGCGUUUCCUUCGGGAACGCAAUGACAGGUGGUGCAUGGUCGUCGUCAGCUCGUGUCGUGAGAUGUUGGGUUAAGUCCCGCAACGAGCGCAACCCUUGUUACUAGUUGCCAGCAUUAAGUUGGGCACUCUAGUGAGACUGCCGGUGACAAACCGGAGGAAGGUGGGGACGACGUCAGAUCAUCAUGCCCCUUAUGACCUGGGCUACACACGUGCUACAAUGGACGGUACAACGAGUCGCGAACUCGCGAGGGCAAGCAAAUCUCUUAAAACCGUUCUCAGUUCGGACUGCAGGCUGCAACUCGCCUGCACGAAGUCGGAAUCGCUAGUAAUCGCGGAUCAGCAUGCCGCGGUGAAUACGUUCCCGGGCCUUGUACACA